CAACCCACCCCAUUGCCGGAUGGUUCCGCUGCUACGCAUCGGCUGGACUCUCCCACUGGCCGGUGUGACCCUGACUCUGUGCCGGGUCUGAGGAUGCCCUCCGUCGUCAUCCCUUAAAAGGUGUUACCUGCUUUCAGACUACCUCGUUGCGGCGCACUUGCCACUUCCAGAAGCCUAACAUUUCAAGACAACAGUCUCUGCUUGUUCAUGGCAAGCUUGUCCCGCCAUGGAACUGCCAUGGACUGCUCUUUCGGUGCCGAUUGAUGCACGGUCGUCGGCGCCAUUAUGCAUCCACCGUUCGCAACAGGCCUUAAUAACCCGCAUUUCGCGCGCGUCCGCCGAUACAUUCAGACCACAAUUUCGGGCCCCGAGUUGGGGCCAAGCGUAGCCUUUGACACAUCGAACUCACGUCUUCUCCUUUCGCCAUAAGGUGCACAUCGCCACUUUACGCAUCUCUACACCUCCUUGUGGUCACCGCUUCCGCCGAAAGACCAGACAUUGACUGCGACUCCGCGCUUUCGCACCCCUCGUUUGUCCUAAUCUAUGGGACCAUCAGGUGCGGCAUUUGCUACUCACGAUCCACAACCCCCAAAGUUAUGGGAGUCACGGCGUCGAUUGCGUUAUUCG
rnacentral:rRNA from 1 species